rnacentral:tRNA from 1 species
GUAGCGCAAUGAAUAGCGCGUUGGACUUCUAACCAAAAUUCGUGGGUUCAAAUCCCACCUCA